rnacentral:siRNA from 1 species
UAAAGGGUGUAAUAUACAAUU